GAGUCUGUUAGGAAGAUAUCACCACAUGGCAUAAGGGUUAGAUACAGUAUGAUAUCGACAUCCCAGGAGUCCUGAUGUACGUUUUAUAUAUUAACAUGUGGUUUGGUUUUAGGGAUUCAUUUUGGAUUCCUUAAAGGGAAACUUCACCCAUUUCCUUUAUGCUUUGUAUCGUUAGAAACCCACUCAUAUUUUUGAAUGGUCGUGCAUCAUUCCCUUAUUUUCUGGAGAGACUGGAGAGAUCCGUAUCGAUCUCCAACACUUCCUGUUUAAGAUGACGCAAUAUGACGAUUUUUGCGUAGAAGCUACAAGCACUAGUCCCACCCCCUAGGGUGGGACCCACUGACGCUACAGACCUAUUAGAGCAGUGCCAGUGGGUGGGACUACACCAGCAGAAACUAACAUCCACAGCGUCUGAAGCUAAGCUAACAGAGGCUGUUGAUAAAACUGAAGUACAAUUCACUGAGUUCACCAACUAAUACUCUUCACUAGAAUGAUUUUCAAGCAGUCUUGCGGUAUCAGCUUGGUAGAUGGAACAGCGAGGUGUCCGAUAGGCGGAGAUCUAGAUCAGCGGGAGUGGCCAGCGAAGCUGUGCAUCGUGGUACAUGGUGGGAGUUGUUGUCUUCAAUCCACAAGCACCAAAAAGUCACUUUCUGCCUUUUCUCGGUCAAGACGGCACCAAAUUAGAAUUAUUUUAUUUUUAGUAGUUUUAUUCGACUACAUAUAGGACCCAAUUUCAAUACAUAUUCAUGCCUCCACCGGUGAAAUGCUCCUUUAAUUUAUGGAUAAUUAAAUGUGUAUGUGUGAGCAAAAACUAUAAGACAUGUAUACAGUGUCUUGAACAACCUCACCUAACUCUGAUGCCAAUGUGCAAUCAACUCAAUACCAAGAAUGAAUGCAUCCACAUCUUUGUUCUCCUACAUUCUCUAUUUUCUUCUCACUUUCUAAUAAAAGUUCAAGGUUCCGCACUAAAAUGUAAUAUUUGUACACUGUAUGAGAACCAAAUCACCUCAUUGUAUCAGAGUGACUAGGUCACUCUUGGGACAAACCACUUCAAUAGAUAUUAGCCAGACAAGACAAGGUUAGUAGAGUUUAUUUUAUUAGUACAGGAUGGUUAAAACCAGACAGAGACGAUCUUUCUUGGUUAUAAUGUUGAAAGUUUAUAAUAGCCAUAAAAUAUACAACCACAAAUUUCAAAUGUAAUAUAUUCCUAUGUUUACAUAGUCAUUAUUUUAGUACCUUAGAGGUAAAUUCCCUCAGCAAAACAGAGCUAUGCAUCACUAGGCUUCCACAGAGAUGUGGGAGAGCUCCUUGUGUAAACUGACUUAAGUAAACAACAAGGCUAAUGGCUGCCCACACACACAGACACACACAUACUCUUAUACACACUGACAAAGCUACACACACACACACACACACACUUAAGACACGUCCACAGAGAGACAUUACGAGAGACACACACACACACUCUCCACCCACGCCAUAGACUUAACACAGUGUGUGUGUGGUACUGACCUGCAGGUUGGCCAUGGUGUGGUACCACCAGAAGAGGCGGGAGGUGAUGAAAUAAGCCACCACCACGUCUACGCUGUAGUGCUCGUGGGCCACCAGGAUGCACACCACGCCCACUGCGCUGAUCAGCCAGCACAGCAGGUGGUACCACCAGAAUGACCGCGGAAGUCCCCGCACAUGAGGUGGGAGCCCGUGAUGGAGAGCCCUGCGCCCGAGAUCAGCUGGAGGAUACGCUGGAGCUUAGCCUGGGAAUCACCGUGUAGCUACAUACAAAAAGAAAGGCUGAAGUCAUGUGCAUGCCAGGCACGGGGAGGGUUGUGAUGUACAUGGUGACACAGCGGUACAGGUACAGUGUACCAAUGAGGAAGAAGAACCGCCUGCUUGCAAUUGACCUGAAACAACAUGAGGGACCAGAGCCGACUUUCAUUGAGUUGAUUUCUCUACAGAAAGUAAAGUUGAAUGAAAGGAGAAAAACAACUCCCAAGGGGUUACGGUGAUGGAAGAUCUCACCUGUAUUUGAAGAAGAAGAGCUGGAUGAGCCAUAUGGUCACCAGCACCAUGCCGUUCACCUCGGUCACAGUGAACGCCCACUU